AGUAAAAAGUAGAAUAAUAGAUUUGAAAUAUUUAUUAUAUAGAUUUAAAGAGAUAAUCAUGGAGUAUAAAUUAUUAAAUAAAAAAAUAUUUAAUAAUAACUAUUAAUAGGAUUAGGUUACUAAUAAAUUAAUAAUAAUUAAUUUAAAAACCUAAAGGUAAACCUUUAUAUUAAUAAUAUAUAUAUUUAUAUUAUUAAUAAUAAUAAGAACUAAGUGAACUGAAACAUCUAAGUAACUUAAGGAAUAUAAAUCAACAGAGAUAUUAUGAGUAUUGGUGAGAGAAAAUAAUAAAGGUCUAAUAAGUAUUAUGUAAGAAGUAUGUAAGAAAAUAGGAUAACAAAUUCUAAGACUAAAUACUAUUAAUAAGUAUAAUAAGUACCGUAAGGGAAAGUAUGAAAAUGAUUAUUUUAUAAGCAAUCAUGGAUAUAAUUUUAAUAUUAAUGAUGUACCUUUUGUAUAAUGGGUCAGCAAGUAAUUAAUAUUAGUAAAACAAUAAAGUUAUAAAUAAAUAGAAAAAGUAUAUAUAUAAAAAAAUAUAUUAAAAUAUUUAAUUAAUAUUAAUUGACCCGAAAGCAAACGAUCUAACUAUGAUAAGAUGGGUAAACGAUCGAACAGGUUGAUGUUGCAAUAUCAUCUGAUUAAUUGUGGUUAGUAGUGAAAGACAAAUCUGGUUUGCAGAUAGCUGGUUUUCUAUGAAAUAUAUGUAAGUAUAGCCUUUAUAAAUAAUAAUUAUUAUAUAAUAUUAAAAUAAUAUUAUAUAAAGAAUGGUACAGCAAUUAAUAUAUAUUAGGGAACUAUAAAAGUUUUAUUAAUAAUAUUAAAUCUCGAAAUGUUUAAUUAUAUAUAAUAAAGAGUCAGAUUAUGUGCGAUAAGGUAAAUAAUCAAAAGGGAAACAGCCCAGAUUAAGAUAUAAAGUUCCUAAUAAAUAAUAAGUGAAAAAAAUAUUAAAAUAUUAUAAUAUAAUCAGUUAAUGGGUUUGACAAUAACCAUUUUUUAAUGAACAUGUAACAAUGCACUGAUUUAUAAAAAUAAAAUAAUAUUUAAAAUCAAAUAUAUAUAUAUAUUUUUGUUAAUAGAUAAUAUACGGAUCUUAAUAAUAAUAAGAAUUAUUUAAUUCCAAAAAUGGAAUAUCAUAUUAAAUUAAUAAAAAAUAUGAAUACUGAAUAUCUAAAUAUUAUUAUUAAUAAUAAAUAAUAAUAAUAAUAUGGUAAUAGAACAUUUAAUGAUAAUAUAUAUUAGUUAUUAAUUAAUAUAUUAAUUAAUUAAAUAGAGAAUGCUGACAUGAGUAACGAAAAAAAGGUAUAAACCUUUUCACCUAAAACAUAAGGUUUAACUAUAAAAGUACGGCCCCUAAUUAAAUAAAUAAGAAUAUAAAUAUAUUUAAGAUGGGAUAAUCUAUAUUAAUAAAAAUAAUCUUAAAAUAUAUAUAUUAUUAUUAUUAAUUUAUUAAUUAAUUAAUUAAUAAUAUAUAUAAUUAUAUUUAUAUAUUAUAUAUAUAUAUAAUAUAAACUAAUAAAGAUCAAGAAAAGUAUUAAUGUAUACCGUAAUGUAGACCGACUCAGGUAUGUAAGUAGAGAAUAUGAAGGUGUAUUAGAGAAUUAAAGGGAAGGAACUCGGCAAAGAUAGCUCAUAAGUUAGUCAAUAAAGAGUAAUAAGAACAAAGUUGUACAACUGUUUACUAAAAACACCGCACUUUGCAGAAACGAUAAGUUUAAGUAUAAGGUGUGAACUCUGCUCCAUGCUUAAUAUAUAAAUUAAAUUAUUUAACGAUAAUUUAAUUAAAUUUAGGUAAAUAGCAGCCUUAUUAUGAGGGUUAUAAUGUAGCGAAAUUCCUUGGCCUAUAAUUGAGGUCCCGCAUGAAUGACGUAAUGAUACAACAACUGUCUCCCCUUUAAACUAAGUGAAAUUGAAAUCGUAGUGAAGAUGCUAUGUACCUUCAGCAAGACGGAAAGACCCUAUGCAGCUUUACUGUAAUUAGAUAGAUCGAAUUAUUGUUUAUUAUAUUCAGCAUAUUAAGUAAUCCUAUAAUUUUAGGUAAUCGUUUAGAUAUUAAUGAGAUACUUAUUAUAAUAUAAUGAUAAUUCUAAUCUUAUAAAUAAUAAUUAAUUAAUUAAUUAAUUAAUUAUUAAUACUUAAUAGAUAUAAUUUCUUAAGUAAUAUAUAAUAUAUUAUAUUAUUAUAUGUAUUAUAUAUAUAUAUAUAAGAGACAAUCUCUAAUUGGUAGUUUUGAUGGGGCGUCAUUAUCAGCAAAAGUAUCUGAAUAAGUCCAUAAAUAAAUAUAUAAAAUUAUUGAAUAAGAAUAAUAUAUAUUAUAUAUAUUAAUUAUAAAUUGAAAUAUAUUUAUAUUUUUAAUGAAUAUAUUUUAGUAAUAGAUAAAAAUAUGUACAGUAAAAUUGUAAGGAAAACAAUAAUAACUUUCUAUUUAUUAAUUUAUAAAAAAAGUAUAGAAAGAAUUAGAUUAAUAUAAUGGUAUAACUGUGCGAUAAUUGUAACACAAACGAGUGAAACAAGUACGUAAGUAUGGCAUAAUGAACAAAUAACACUGAUUGUAAAGGUUAUUGAUAACGAAUAAAAGUUACGCUAGGGAUAACAGGGUAAUAUAACGAAAGAGUAGAUAUUGUAAGUUAUGUUUGCCACCUCGAUGUCGACUCAACAUUUCCUCUUGGUUGUAAAAGCUAAGAAGGGUUUGACUGUUCGUCAAUUAAAAUGUUACGUGAGUUGGGUUAAAUACGAUGUGAAUCAGUAUGGUUCCUAUCUGCUGAAGGAAAUAUUAUCAAUUUAAAUCUCAUUAUUAGUACGCAAGGACCAUAAUGAAUCAACCCAUGGUGUAUCUAUUGAUAAUUUAAUAAUAUAUUUAUAAUAAAAAUUUUAUAAUAAAUAUAUUAUCUAUAUUAGUUUAUAUUUUUAUAUAAUUAUCAUAGUAGAUAAGCUAAGUUGAUAAUAAAUAAAUAUUGAAUACAUAUUAAAUAUGAAGUUGUUUUAAUAAGAUAAUUAAUCUGAUAAUUUUAUACUAAAAUUUAAUAAUUAUAGGUUUUAUAUAUUCUUUAUAUAUUAAUAAUAUUUUAUAUAAUAUUAAUAAAAUACUAAUUUAUCAGUUAUCUAUAUAAUAUCUAAUCUAUUAUUCUAUAUACU